AGAGUUUGAUCAUGGCUCAGAUUGAGCGCUGGCGGCAGGCCUAACACAUGCAAGUCGAGCGGUAACAGAUCUAGCUUGCUAGAUGCUGACGAGCGGCGGACGGGUGAGUAACGCGUAGGAAUUUACCUAAUGGCGGGGGAUAGCCCGGGGAAACUCGGAUUAAUACCGCAUAAGCUCUACGGAGGAAAGCAGGGGAUCUUCGGACCUUGCACUAUUGGAUGAGCCUAAGUCAGAUUAGCUUGUUGGUGGGGUAAAGGCCCACCAAGGCGACGAUCUGUAGCUGGUCUGAGAGGAUGAUCAGCCACACUGGGACUGAGACACGGCCCAGACUCCUACGGGAGGCAGCAGUGGGGAAUAUUGGACAAUGGGGGCAACCCUGAUCCAGCCAUGCCGCGUGUGUGAAGAAGGCCUUAGGGUUGUAAAGCACUUUCAGUAGGGAGGAAAAGUUAGUCGUUAAUAACGGCUAACCGUGACGUUACCUACAGAAGAAGCACCGGCAAACUCCGUGCCAGCAGCCGCGGUAAUACGGAGGGUGCGAGCGUUAAUCGGAAUUACUGGGCGUAAAGCGCGCGUAGGCGGCCUGAUAAGUUGGAUGUGAAAGCCCUGGGCUCAACCUAGGAACUGCAUUCAAAACUGUCAGGCUAGAGUAUGGUAGAGGAUAGUGGAAUUUCCGGUGUAGCGGUGAAAUGCGUAGAGAUCGGAAGGAACAUCAGUGGCGAAGGCGGCUAUCUGGACCAAUACUGACGCUGAGGUGCGAAAGCGUGGGGAGCAAACGGGAUUAGAUACCCCGGUAGUCCACGCAGUAAACGAUGUCUAUUAGAAGUUUGUGGCUAUAUGCCGUGGGUUUCAAAGCUAACGCAUUAAAUAGACCGCCUGGGGAGUACGGCCGCAAGGUUAAAACUCAAAUGAAUUGACGGGGGCCCGCACAAGCGGUGGAGCAUGUGGUUUAAUUCGAUGCAACGCGAAGAACCUUACCAGGUCUUGACAUCCCGAGAAUUUACUAGAGAUAGUUUAGUGCCUUCGGGAACUGGGUGACAGGUGCUGUAUGGCUGUCAUCAGCUCGUGUCGUGAGAUGUUGGGUUAAGUCCCGCAACGAGCGCAACCCUUAUCCUUACUUGCCAGCGGGUUAUGCCGGGAACUUUAGGGAGACUGCCGGUGAUAAACCGGAGGAAGGUGGGGACGACGUCAAGUCAUCAUGUCCCUUACGGGAUGGGCUACACACGUGCUACAAUGGCAGGUACAGAGGGCAGCAAUACCGCGAGGUGGAGCGAAUCCCACAAAGCUUGUCGUAGUCCGGAUUGGAGUCUGCAACUCGACUCCAUGAAGUCGGAAUCGCUAGUAAUCGUAGAUCAGAAUGCUACGGUGAAUACGUUCCCGGGCCUUGUACACACCGCCCGUCACACCAUGGGAGUGGGAUGCAAAAGAAGUCAUUAGCUUAACCUUUCGGGGAUGGCGAUGACCACGGUGUGGUUCAUGACUGGGGUGAAGUCGUAACAAGGUA
rnacentral:rRNA from 1 species